rnacentral:rRNA from 1 species
GGGUCUGUAGGUGGUUUGUUAAGUCAGAUGUGAAAGCCCAGGGCUCCACCUUGGAACUGCAUUUGAUACUGGCAAACUAGAGUAUGGUAGAGGAAUGGGGAAUUUCUGGUGUAGCGGUGAAAUGCGUAGAGAUCAGAAGGAACACCAAUGGCGAAGGCAACAUUCUGGACCAAUACUGACACUGAGGGACGAAAGCGUGGGGAUCAAACAGGAUUAGAUACCCUGGUAGUCCACGCUGUAAACGAUGAGUACUAGCUGUUGGAUUCGGUGUAAAGGAUCUAGUGGCGUAGCUAACGCGUUAAGUACUCCGCCUGGGGACUACGGCCGCAAGGCUAAAACUCAAAGGAAUUGACGGGGACCCGCACAAGCGGUGGAGCAUGUGGUUUAAUUCGAUGCAACGCGAAGAACCUUACCUGGUCUUGACAUCCUGCGAACUUUCUAGAGAUAGAUUGGUGCCUUCGGGAACGCAGUGACAGGUGCUGCACGGCUGUCGUCAGCUCGUGUUGUGAAAUGUUGGGUUAAGUCCCGCAACGAGCGCAACCCCUAUUGAUAGUUACCAUCAUUAAGUUGGGUACUCUAUUGAGACUGCCGCUGACAAGGCGGAGGAAGGUGGGGACGACGUCAAGUCAUCAUGGCCCUUACGACCAGGGCUACACACGUGCUACAAUGGGUAUUACAGAGGGCAGCGAAGUAGCGAUAUGGAGCGAAACUCAGAAAGGUACUCUUAGUCCGGAUUGCAGUCUGCAACUCGACUGCAUGAAGUCGGAAUCGCUAGUAAUCGCAGGUCAGAAUACUGCGGUGAAUACGUUCCCGGGUCUUGUACACACCGCCCGUCACACCAUGGGAGUGGGUUGCUCCAGAAGUAGAUAGCUUAACGAAUGGGCGUUUACCACGGAGUGAUUCAUGACUGGGGUGAAGUCGUAA